AGUAAAACUACUAGCUUGAAAAUGUCAGUCAGUCCAUGACGUGUUUUGCAGUUAGAUCUGAAACCAUCCUCUCAUUUCCAGCCCUUUGAGUGGCAAUAUGAUUUCACACUUUUUUGCAUUAAAUCCUGGUCAAAGACAACACCUGCCUGUUCCUUGAAGGAAGUGAUGCAAGAGAGAGUUUAGCUGGCUGUGAAUCUCAAUUAGGACAAGGGGUCACGUUGAGUGUAACAGUACACACACAUUUAUUACACAAAACAUGCAUAUUUAUGCAUAUCCACCUUGUGAUGUCAUGUGGUAAUAAAGUGCUGCACUGAG